GAUCCAGUUCUCACCAUCUUCCUCCAAAAAAUGGGGUUGUCGACCCUUCUUCUAGCACCAAUCUAUUCAUGCUCCUCCUCAAAUUGUGCUGAUGUGGCGACGGAUUGAUCGAGUUGGACGAUACGCGGCAAAAGUUGAAGGAUGUUCGAGAUAUCGAAGACCUACAAAAAUAAGUCCACAAAUGUCCGAGACAUCAAACCUUCCCUUUUUUCCUUCCUUUUUAUAGGAGAAAACCUGUUACAUUGUUAGAACCUAUCAGAGUUGGAGGAGUAGUAGUCGGAAGGCUAAAAUAGUGAUGCCAGUGAGUUGUUGUAGUAUCGAUGACCCAUGUUUGUGGUGUAGUGAACCGCUGUAAGAGAAUGCUGACAUGAUAGAUUCCGCACAAUAGGGAGGUCACACAUCAUCCGAACUAGGCGGACAGUGCAUGGAAGAUUGGGGC
rnacentral:lncRNA from 1 species